UACGUAGGAAGCGAGCGUUGUCCGGAAUCACUGGGCGUAAAGCGCGUGUAGGCGGUACGGCAAGUCUGCUGUGAAAGCGCCCGGCUUAACCGGGCGAGGUCGGCGGAAACUGCUGAACUGGAGGACGGUAGAGGGGGUGGAAUUCCCGGUGUAGUGGUGAAAUGCGUAGAGAUCGGGAGGAACACCUGUGGCGAAGGCGGCCCCCUGGGCCGGACCUGACGCUGAGACGCGAAGGCGCGGGGAGCGAACGGGAUUGAGAAACCCU
rnacentral:rRNA from 1 species